UGAAAAAUUGUAUCUUAGUACUUACCUACAUUUUUGUGCUAUAAUUUGUUGAAGAAAGAAAUAUACUAAGUAUGGUUUUAGGAAAAAUUAUAGUUGUAAAUUUUAAACUAUUAACCAAUUUUUAGUGAAUUUUUAAGUAGAAGCGGGUCUGUUGCCUAGGCAGCUCAAGUCACCUUACUUUGAAAACACAUAGCUUGGACAUCAAACCUCGGAUCACCAUGAAAUUUGGUAGAUAGGAGCAACUUUAAAUAAAGUUGACAU
rnacentral:lncRNA from 1 species